rnacentral:tRNA from 1 species
GGGGCUGUGGCUCAGUGGUAGAGCGCUCGCCUAGCAUGUGUGAGGCACUGGGUUCCACCCUCAGCACCA